rnacentral:pre_miRNA from 1 species
GAGACACCCCUCCGGGGCAAGACUUGCUUCAGUGGGGCUUUGGUGCUCACUGAGUCUGCUCCCUGAGUGUGUCCCU